GUCCAUGCCGUAAACGUUGGGCACUAGGUGUGGGUCUCAACCAACGAGAUCCGCGCCGUCGCUAACGCAUUAAGUGCCCCGCCUGGGGAGUACGGUCGCAAGACUAAAACUCAAAGGAAUUGACGGGGGCCCGCACAAGCAGCGGAGCGUGUUGCUUAAUUCGAUGCAACGCGAAGAACCUUACCUGGGUUUGACAUGUACCGAAAAGCUCUAGAGAUAGGGUGUCCUUCGGGCGGUACGACAGGUGGUGGCAUGGCUGUCGU
rnacentral:rRNA from 1 species